rnacentral:pre_miRNA from 1 species
UGAGAACUGAAUUCCAUAGGCUUUAAAAUAAUGAAAACGCCCUGUGGCUUCAGUUCUGUA